GCAAGCGUGAGGUGGUAAUGGAGGUAAGGAACCCACUUUCCCAACUGGUAGCUAAAUCUUUUAUUUCCGUUAUAUCCAAACCCGAGUUCGCUGCCCUAAAGCCUGUUCCUUGGCACUGGAGUCGGUCACCUUGCCUGGUUCUUGCCUAGACUGUUCCCAAAGGGAAUAGAAUGACACAUCAAACGGGGGACAUGGGUUUUCCCUUACAGAGCAGGUCUCGUCCAAAUGACUUUUCUCUUUGUUAGUGUGGAUGUGCGAUUAGUGCAGUGGGUCAGAUCUGUAUUAUUUCACAUGCUCCAUGCUGACUGUGCCUGAAUGGUGUUCAAACUCCAUCGUGAAAUAAUUUGAGCUGGUUUCCUGCAGCUUUCCUCCUGGUGUGUUCUCAGGGUGUGCACUGUGCAGUGGGGCUACUGGCACAGAACGGCUCCCGUGUCAGUCAGGAGGUUUGAUGGAACAAGUAAAGGUUUAUUCCAUGCUGAGAAGAGAUGAAAAGAAAACAAUUCGGCUGUGGAGACUAGUUUGGGUAUUUGAUGUAGGUGCCUUCCUAUAUUUCAAGCCCUAAAGAGAUGUAUUUUUUUUAAACAAUUCAUUUUUUCACUAGCAGAGCUAAAUUCCGAUACCCGUACUGUACAUACGCAUACUGGAAAUAUAGCCAGGAUGCCCUGGUUCUAAGCAAUGAAGUUCUCCUGUACCACCCUCUUGGUAUUUGUGUGCAUUUCACCUUGUUUAUCCAUUUACAGAAAGAUGGGCUGAUGAGCUGUAUGAAAUAUCUGAAAUUCAGGUGUUUAACGACUCAAAAUAUUCAGAUAUGAGCAAAGGGGCUGUUUCUGCACUUAGCUGAAUGGCACUUGUAUGUCAAGAUCGCCCCCUGGACUUUCCCUGGAGCAUUGCAACAUAUCUUUCUGUAUUGUUCUACGCAGGCUAUGGUGGUAAAGAUUCGAAUAUGGGUAAGUCUUGGAAAAAGCAUACAUGGGCAGUAGGCUCAGCAUCAGAAGAAACUCGAACCUACGCAUGGAUGUUAUGAGAAAACUAUGCAGAAUUUGGAUAUUGAGUAAAUGUCUUUGGCAUUAUUUUAAUUGAUCAUCUGUGACUAUCUGGAACACUCAAGUGACUUAGCUGUAUAAACAGCAAAAGGGUUUCAUCGGUGAACGAGCCGAUGGUGCAGCGGAGAUGAGGUGUUAACCUGUUGAAUAUUAAGCCUGGAGAAAGUAAACGAAGGCAGAAAGGAACAAUGGCCUUUGGGUCACUGGUAAAGUUGAGGGGUCAUGAUUCCAGGUGGAGAACACAAGACCGGAAAACAACAGCCUUCUAGCGAGACGAGACCGCUCACGGCCCUGGAUCCCUUACUCUCCUGCUUGUUGCGUGUGUGACGAGCAGGGACGGUGUGAGGUAUCUGCUGUAGGUCUCGGACACCAGUGAAGAGACACAGGCAAGAGCAGGGUAUGCAAGAAUAGCCAAUGUCUGUAACCUGGUGCAAAACAUGCAUCGCAGACGUAGCUUGGAUUGCUGCCCUGUACAAUUCACAGCAGCCUGUCAUUGCACCUGUACAUUAUGCAUUUCAAUGCUGUAUACAUCUUCAGAUGUCCUAGUCUGGAUUUCUAGCAGUACCUUUAUGAUUCCUUUUAAUGGUUUUAAGAACUUCACCUAAGUUAUGUUUUGUGAAAUCAACAUAAAAGUCAACUGGCAGGAUAUUUUAAUACCCAGGACACCAAAGCCUCAGGUGUGGUAGAGUUUUUUUUUUUCCAUUUACUGUAGUUCUAACCAGUGACCUGUUUUUCCUGAAUUCAAGAAAAAAAAAGUCUGCACGUAGGCUGAAAUCCUGUUUUUUGACUUUGGCAGCCACAUGGCAGAGUUCCUUCGGUAAUCCCGAAAUACGUGACGCGUAGGCAAGUAUGUUUGUCUUCCCACACGCUGGUGACAGGAGUUACAGAAAUACGGUAAGUGCUUAUCACACUGCAAACAGUUUCAUAUUACGGUUUCUGCUGCACAAGUGAAACUGCAUAUUUACCUUCAGCCCCUACUGCCUUCAAACCCAGCAGUCUCUCCCCGUGCGGCCCCUCUGCGGUUUUACAGAGCAUUGUAUUGGAGAACGUCUUCCACCACAUGUUUAUGUAAUUUGCAUUGUGUUUCGGAGCUGCGUUCUUGUUUCAGUGAUUUCGAAGAACGAGACACAGAUUACAAAUGCAAAGGAGGCCAUUCCGUCCAACAGGCCUGUCCAGAAGGGAGUGUUUACUUGAUCCCAGGAUCCCAUCCAGCUGUUUCUUGAAGGGCACCAGGGUAUCGGCUUCAACAGCAGGGAUGGCUCCUCUAGAGAAGAACUAGACUGAAGGUUUGGAGGUGUUGCCAGAAUGACUUGACCUGAACCAAACUGGACAGCUUUGGUUUCGACUUCACGCCCCCCGAGUGCCCACUCCUGCUCCCGCCUCCGCUCCACUCCCGGCUCUUGUUCUCCUGUGCUGUAUCAGCUGCCGCUU